GAUGAACGCUGGCGGCGUGCCUAAUACAUGCAAGUCGAGCGAACAGACGAGGAGCUUGCUCCUCUGACGUUAGCGGCGGACGGGUGAGUAACACGUGGAUAACCUACCUAUAAGACUGGGAUAACUUCGGGAAACCGGAGCUAAUACCGGAUAAUAUAUUGAACCGCAUGGUUCAAUAGUGAAAGACGGUGUUGCUGUCACUUAUAGAUGGAUCCGCGCCGCAUUAGCUAGUUGGUAAGGUAACGGCUUACCAAGGCAACGAUGCGUAGCCGACCUGAGAGGGUGGUCGGCCACCCUGGAACUGGGACGCGGUCCAGACUCCUACGGGAGGCAGCAGUAGGGAAUCUUCCGCAAUGGGCGAAAGCCUGACGGAGCAACGCCGCGUGAGUGAUGAAGGUCUUCGGAUCGUAAAACUCUGUUAUUAGGGAAGAACAAAUGUGUAAGUAACUAUGCACGUCUUGACGGUACCUAAUCAGAAAGCCACGGCUAACUACGUG
rnacentral:rRNA from 1 species